rnacentral:rRNA from 1 species
GCUACUUGCACUAUCUGCGGAUGCAGUGAUGAAGAUGAGUUUCAUGCUGUUGUGGAGUGCACAAAAAGCAGAGCAUUAUGAGAUGCACUCAGAGAAAGUUGGGAGAUACCUCCAGAGCAUGCAUUCCGGCAUACUGGCCUUGAUUGGCUUCAGUUGUUGUUGAGUUCUGAAACUGAAGAAAUGAGAGCGAGGGUACUUAUGUUAUUUUGGAGGUGCUAGCACCUUCGCGAUGACGUGGUGCAUGGGAAAGGAAAG